UACGGGGGGGGCAAGCGUUGUUCGGAAUUACUGGGCGUAAAGCGCGCGCAGGCGGCACUCUAAGUACGUCGUGAAAUAUCCCGGCUCAACCGGGAGGGUGCGAUGUAGACUAGGGAGCUAGAGGUCGGUAGAGGGGGGUGGAAUUGCUGGUGUAGCGGUGAAAUGCGUAGAGAUCAGCAGGAACACCCGUGGCGAAGGCGGCCCCCUGGGCCGUACCUGACGCUGAGGCGCGAAAGCUAGGGGAGCAAACGGG
rnacentral:rRNA from 1 species